rnacentral:rRNA from 1 species
UACGAGUGCCUCAAGCGUUAUCCGGAAUCAUUGGGCGUAAAGGUUGUGUAGGUGGUUAUAUUAGUCUUCUGUUAAAUUCUUCGGCUUAACCGGGGGCAUGCAGAGGAAACGGUAUAACUUGAGGAUGCGAGGGGUCUGCGGAACUCAUAGUGUAGCGGUGAAAUGCGUUGAUAUUAUGGGGAACACCAAAAGCGAAAGGCAGCAGACUGGAGCACUCCUGACACUGAAACAAGAAAGCGUGGGUCGCGAAUGGG